rnacentral:rRNA from 1 species
GAUGAACGCUGGCGGCGUGCCUAAUACAUGCAAGUCGAGCGAACGGACGAGAAGCUUGCUUCUCUGAUGUUAGCGGCGGACGGGUGAGUAACACGUGGAUAACCUACCUAUAAGACUGGGAUAACUUCGGGAAACCGGAGCUAAUACCGGAUAAUAUUUUGAACCGCAUGGUUCAAAAGUGAAAGACGGUCUUGCUGUCACUUAUAGAUGGAUCCGCGCUGCAUUAGCUAGUUGGUAAGGUAACGGCUUACCAAGGCAACGAUGCAUAGCCGACCUGAGAGGGUGAUCGGCCACACUGGAACUGAGACACGGUCCAGACUCCUACGGGAGGCAGCAGUAGGGAAUCUUCCGCAAUGGGCGAAAGCCUGACGGAGCAACGCCGCGUGAGUGAUGAAGGUCUUCGGAUCGUAAAACUCUGUUAUUAGGGAAGAACAUAUGUGUAAGUAACUGUGCACAUCUUGACGGUACCUAAUCAGAAAGCCACGGCUAACUACGUGCCAGCAGCCGCGGUAAUACGUAGGUGGGCAGCGUUAUCCNGGAAUAUUGGGUGUAAAGCGCACGUAGGCGGUUUUUUAAGUCUGAUGUGAAAGCCCACGGCUCAACCGUGGAGGGUCAUUGGAAACUGGAAAACUUGAGUGCAGAAGAGGAAAGUGGAAUUCCAUGUGUAGCGGUGAAAUGCGCAGAGAUAUGGAGGAACACCAGUGGCGAAGGCGACUUUCUGGUCUGUAACUGACGCUGAUGUGCGAAAGCGUGGGGAUCAAACAGGAUUAGAUACCCUGGUAGUCCACGCCGUAAACGAUGAGUGCUAAGUGUUAGGGGGUUUCCGCCCCUUAGUGCUGCAGCUAACGCAUUAAGCACUCCGCCUGGGGAGUACGACCGCAAGGUUGAAACUCAAAGGAAUUGACGGGGACCCGCACAAGCGGUGGAGCAUGUGGUUUAAUUCGAAGCAACGCGAAGGACCUUACCAAAUCUUGACAUCCUUUGACAACUCUAGAGAUAGAGCUUUCCCCUUCGGGGGACAAAGUGACAGGUGGUGCAUGGUUGUCGUCAGCUCGUGUCGUGAGAUGUUGGGUUAAGUCCCGCAACGAGCGCAACCCUUAAGCUUAGUUGCCAUCAUUAAGUUGGGCACUCUAAGUUGACUGCCGGUGACAAACCGGAGGAAGGUGGGGAUGACGUCAAAUCAUCAUGCCCCUUAUGAUUUGGGCUACACACGUGCUACAAUGGACAAUACAAAGGGCAGCGAAACCGUGAGGUCAAGCAAAUCCCAUAAAGUUGUUGUCAGUUCGGAUUGUAGUCUGCAACUCGACUACAUGAAGCUGGAAUCGCUAGUAAUCGUAGAUCAGCAUGCUCCGAAGAGGACGUUCCCGGGUCU